GCAAGGAAUUUUGCGCAAUGGGCGAAAGCCUGACGCAGCGACGCCGCGUGGGGGAUGAAGACCCUUGGGUUGUAAACCCCUUUUCCCGAAGAAGAAUUAUGACGGUACUCGGGGAAUAAGUCUUGGCUAACUACGUGCCAGCAGCCGCGGUAAUACGUAGGAGGCGAACGUUAUUCGGAUUUACUGGGCGUAAAGCGGGUGCAGACGGCUUUUUAAGUCGGUUGUGAAAUCUCCUGACUUAAUUGGGAGAAGCCAUUCGAUACUAUUAAGCUAGAGGACGGUAUAGGAAAGCGGAACUCCCGGUGUAGCGGUGAUAUGCGUAGAUAUCGGGAGGAACACCAGUGGCGAAGGCGGCUUUCUGGGCCGUUCCUGACGUUAAGACCCAAAAGCGUGGGGAGCAAAACGGAUUAGAUACCCUGGUAGUCC
rnacentral:rRNA from 1 species